GGCAGUGUUGGCACAGUGGUUAAGGAUCUGGGCUAACAAUCAAAAGAUCAUGAAUUCAAGUCCCAAUACUGCCA